GUGUAUAAUCUGAUUCUAAACAGUUGCAGAGACUCAGUUCACUCACAGUUAAGAUCCCUGCAGCCAACGUGUCAUUCUGAGGCAUAUCUAAUGUAAUGAAAAUGUCCAUAAGAAUCACCUUGUGAUUGCACAAUUGCCUUGGAAGCCAUGGGAUGCCACACAAACAACCACAGGGGACCCAAGUAGGUGCAGCUUAGCACAGCCACACAGAACGACGAUACAAAGUCAAGGAUCUGACUUUGCUGGCACAAAUACAGUAGCUCAGAUGUAUUUAUACUGUCUAACCAUCUCAGUGGACCCUCUGGGGCUUAGUACAGGAUAAAGAAAGGACUGCGAGGGGUGGAGAGAGGGAGUGAGGGAAGGACAGCAUGUUUAGACCUGUGGUUGGACAGCACCAGUGGUUAAAAUGACCAGAAUAUGAAGGAAGCAGGUAUGGGAGGAGAAAGAAGGAAGAUGGAGAGUAUCUGAGAUCAACAACUACGGAUGAAAGAAGAAGAGCAGAAUAUGAUGUUUCUCAGUAUUUGUUUUCCAAGCAUUAUUCACAGUUCAAAGCAAAGCUGAAUUCUGUGCAACCCAUAAAUAAUCCAUGGAGGUUACCUCUAUUAAAAACCACUGAAACAAAAAUACUGCAAAGACCUAGACAUUUGAAAAGCAAAAAUGGUGUCUGCAGUGAAAUAGCUGGCCAAAUCUUUAUUAUGGAAUUAAACACAUAUUUCAAAAUAGAAAAAAAAGAUGUGGACUUGAAGCUUCCAUACAGUUGAAUUAUCACAUAGUUAUCCACAAUAUACAUCACACUGAAACAAAUUACUCCUAGAAUAAAGAAAACUAUGAUAGCUGGACCACACACAUUUCAGUGAUACAAGUUAGUAAAAUAGCCUUAUUUAUGCUGAAGAUUCAUGUAAUAAAUAUCAGAGUCCUUCCCUGCUAAGAUGUUAUUCCU